UGGCAACCCUGUAUUAAACGAUAAGCUGUACUAUUGUCCUCUACUUCUCUUUCCAGACCUUUCCAUCCACCAUGACUCUAUAACCGCUCUACAAGCUGUUCAGAUGUUUCAGUCGGUGUGAGUUGUCGACCAAAAGAUGACGCCAUAUGGCAGGAGGAUAGAGGGCAGAAAUGCACGGUGUCCCUUACAAGUUUUUGCAGCCUUUCCAACAUGUCUGCAUCAGAGUGACUCAAAACGUUACACAAGUCCUGUUGUUCCUCUCAUGACAGAUCAGCAAUCACAUGGUCAUUUUUAUGUAGAAAUGUAGAAACUUCUGAGGCCUUCAAGUACUCUGCUCAUUCUGUGCAGUAUUUGUUUUUGAAGACCAGCUCUCCUCGUUAUGUUUGUCAGUAUUCAUGAUGGUCAUGAUGCCCACAUUGAUGUGCACGAUAUUUCUUGUAUCUUAAAUAAGAUAUUACUUUUAUAUUUUUGUUCUUUUCUUACCUAUUCUGUUUUUAUUUAACUGCUGCUGUGAUAUCUAAAUUAAUUAAUUAUUAUAUUUAAA